rnacentral:lncRNA from 1 species
UUAGAGACAACAUUUCUUUUUGCAGGGGUGAGUGUAGAGGCCAUGGAAAUUGGUCACCCCCUUUUUCAAUUUUGCCCCUCCCCUUUUAUAAUGUAAUAGUCCAGACUUUGCUUUACCUCUGAAAAUAAUGGACUGAUCCAAGAGUUGCCACAUCAGCAAGGGACAGGAAGUUGGCUUCAUUGUUCUUACAAGCAAUGACCCUGCCAACAUCUGCAAUAAAGUUGUCCUCAUGCAUUUCUGUAUCUUUGGCUGACAACUCUCCAUUAUUUCUUACAGGGAUAAUCUUUUUUAAAAGAUGUUUCAGGAAUUCAGAUGCUCCACCAGAUGUCAUGCACUUCUAUUAUAGUUGAAAACAUGUUACCAUGAGCUGAAGGAAAGGGAGCAGUGCAGCACAAGAAUCCUAUCAGCAAAGAAGACAUGGACCAAAUUAUGUCAGCAUCAGCCCGUGGACCAAGCAACUCCCUUGGCACUUCAAAUCAACGUAUUCGUUGACAUAAUUAUGCAUUUCUGCAACAGCUAGGGCAGGAAAAUCUUCAUGAAUGAAAAAAGACAAAGAAAACUACUUGUGACCACGGGAACCGGCUCUUCAAGUUUAGAGAUGGAAAUAUUACUGCUUUUAUUUCUCAUCAGUGGCCGCAUGGCAGCAAAGCGCAGCCAGCGCUGUAAAACGACUUUUACAACAUGUGUGUGCUCUUCUUGGUGGCUAACACAAGACUGAAUCAAGCUAAUCUAAACCACAGGAGUGCCUCGCAUUCCUGGGCAGACCACAUAGGGAUUAUGAAUAAACAUUCAUUGCUAAAGAGGUGAUAAAACAAAGUAACUGGUGUAGAAAAAUAUUGAUUUAUUCGGUUGAGUACUGGGACGAAUUAAAAUAAAUCUGCUUUAUCAUUGAUAUGUAAAUGAGACACGGUAGAGUGGUUAAGGGCGGGUAAUUUGAAUAGGGAGUGGCACAGGAAUGUGUGCGUGGUUGGAUUGAAGGUAGAUCACUUCACGCUUGCGAGCAGCAACGACAACACACAAUUUUUGUGGCGCUGUACUUCCAUUGCGUUAUAUCAGCAAAUGGGAGAGACGGCAGUUUUGCUCUCCUAAAGUCAAUUUGACAUCUCAUUUUAAGAAGCUACAUUACAUUAAAGGCUACUGACAACAGAGCUCGCCCCUACAUCGGUAUCAAUCAAGACAAGACAGUCGUCAAUAGCAGAGGGACCGAAGAUCGGAAAGCAGAAAGCAGAAAGCCAGUUUACGAAGCUAAGUUAAAUUACAGUCUUUUUAAUUUGCAAAAAUGUAGUUGCAGAUGUUGAAAUUCACAGAAGAUUUUUUUGAGAACGGAGAGAAUUCUGGUUCCAAACGAAGAGGGUUCUGGAGAUUUACUUUCCCACCGUGAAUUGUGGGGACUUUUACACUAGUUCUUUUGUUAUAAGAUGUAACCAGUCCCAGAAAAUGGUCAAUUUCUGAAAACCCACACUCUACUUGUUUGAGACGAAAUAUAGGCCCUAGAUUGAAUCGAUGUUCUGCCAUAUAAGUUGUUGGAAACCCAUAAUAAAGCCGUUUAUCAUUAAUCCUUUGUAAGUUUCAAUUCAGUGACAACAUUUGAAUGUCGUCCGAAAAGGGAGUAGAUAGCCCUGGCAUCACUAUCAGUCAAAUUUGGUGAUACGCCCAUAUUUCUUUGUUCCUUGACAAUGCAUUGAUUCACGUUGAAGUUUGAUCUGAAAAUCUUAAUAUCACCUUGUGAGCGUUUGACCAAUCAGGUUUUCCUGGGUUUCACAGAAAUCGGUUUUUCCAAUUGUUCCAAUUCCUACCAUCAUAUGUGUCUUUAAAUUGAGUGUACCAAAAUAGUACGACCGCUGGAAAAGGGGGCAAUUGCAAGAACAAGGAUAGUUGUCUUAGAGGACGGCUUGGAACACUCCAGUUUCCUUCAGAAAGCCAUAGACUAGAGAGCACAGUGCUCAAACCAAAAGUGGUUGGUUCUAAAAAUGCGCAAAACGGGGUUGAAGUGGUGAGGAAGUUGGUUCAGAAGGUGAGAAAUGCAGAAUUAUGCAUACAUGUCAUGUAGCCCCUAUAGAUGACUUGCUUAACGAUGGUUUAGAGAUUUUGCCAUCUUAUUCCAUCUUAUAACAAUUGCUUUCAGAAAGUCAGAGAGCACAUGCUCAAGAUGUCUUUUAGACAAUGAUUGAGUUUGCCAGUUCCUUCAAAACCAGAGAGAAGAUUUAGUUCUAGUAGGCUUAACUUGAGAUUCGUAAGUCCAAAGGUAUUUAGAAUCCCGUUUCACUGAUGUAUUUACAUCUGUUCUCAACAAAGUUCACUAGUCUUGUUCGGAGUAAAGUUCCUUCAGUUUCAAAACUGUUCCACCGACGCUGGACGCACUGGCAGUACAAAAGGGAUUCAAUAGAAUAUUUGGGCAUCGGUCAGAUAGCGAGAUGACUCGAAGCUCGACUCGGAGAGAAUCGAAGACAGUGAAAUUGGCCUCAAGUUAACCCUUCUAUAGAAACAUGCAUGGUCAGCCUAGUUUAUUACUUGGCCUAAUCUUGGCCAAGAUAACCACAUUGGUUUAAUAUGAAAGCCACGAGUAUCACCAUACAAGAGUUUAGUGGUUUACGUGGCAAUAAAGUUAGGGUCAGAGUCGUUUCUGACAGAAGUGUAAAACGAGAUGCGUUCAGAACGCCAACAAGACAGUCUCAGCAGACUUACACCAAAAUAUGGUGAUAUCCUCAGCAGAUGUUUGGUAUUGUAAAAGUUACAAUUGAUCUCCCCAGCGGAUGUUGAUUCAGAUUUGGCAAAUAAGCUUUUAUUUGUAUUCAGAGUAUAGUUGUAGCAAUAAGCAGUGAGAAAUGCGCUUUUAAUUAAAUGCACUUAAUAAAGAAAGUGUUUAAUAAGUUGACGCAUGAUUUUAAUCUCGUUAAAGUAACAAUCAUUGUUAUUUUCCUUUCUGGAAGCUCAUCUUAAACAGCGAUAAUUGGAGGCAGCGGAUUCCUCCAUCAGCCAAAAGUCAAGAGCUGGAUAUAGUCUCGCCAGUCAACUGCCUUCCAUGCUACUCGAGUCACAAGCCCCAUCAACAGUCUCGCAGUACAGAUCAUCCUUCACGAGAUGGCGACAAUGGGCAGAGUUGCAUGGAAUAUCAUCCCUACCCGCAGAUCCUUACACGGUAGCCUUAUACCUGAUCCAUAUUGGAACUCUGCAACAUCACCAUGCACCUACAGUCACAAACUCUUUAUCUGCCAUGUCAUGGGUUCAUCUCAUGGCUAGUUGGGGACCAUGAUACAACCAAAGACCCUCUCGUGUCAUACACCGCGCUAAAGGUCUGACAAGAACACUGGUUAAGCCAAAGAAAGAUCCAAUUACACCAGAUAUUCUUUCUGAGAUGGUGCCAAAAUAGGGUAAAAACCGUUCAGUACACAUCUUAUUUUAUAUAAGAAUCAUGGUCAAGGCCCUUAUUUCAUAUACCGGGUCUUACCGGGUCUUAUCGACUCAGUGAGUUAGCCGCACUUUAAUUGACGUAUUUACGUGUUAUCUCAUGCACUCGGCAAUGUGAAUUCAGUUAUUAUUGAGAGGUAAUUAUUGUCAACAUGUACAGUUGCAAUGUUGAAAUUGUAUGUUAAGUGAGUCAAAGUCUUCCCUUCAGAUAAAGACCUUCUUUUGUGUUCAGAAACUUAAACAAAUGUUAAAGAAGAGUAUAAAGUGAUUUCACAGAGGUAUAAACCGAUGAAGUACUCGAGAGUUUGAGAGGGAAGGUUCGAGUUUUCCUAGAGCAGCCCCAUGCUGCUGUUGGAGUCUUAGCGGCUAUCAAAGCAGAUAUCCAACAGGCUGUUCAAGCCUCAUGGACACUAUAUCAGAGACAGCGAAGGAUACUUUAAUAUAUCCAAGAGAGUGAUUGCAAUAUGAUGUUAAAUAUCUAAAUCCUUUUGGGGAUUCAGCAUUACAGACCCGUUCUUUAUAGUUCAUACCGGUUGCUGCUGCAAGCACAAAUACCAAAAUCAGGAUGAUUUGAUUGUUUAUUGUGUAGAAUGGUGUUGAAAUGAUAAGCUACCCUUAGAGUCUAUCUAAUGAAUGAUAAUGAGGUAUGAAGUCAGGCCUCCUGCCUGGAGUUGAUUACUUUUCCAGAAACUUUGAAUGUGUGGCUGACCCAUCCAGGGCCAAAGGACAGGUUUUCUCAUGGUGGUUCUUAAUAAAAAGAACAAAAAUAUAACAUGUACAUAAAACAAUGUAGAUAAUAAUAAUUUCAAUACUUGGAAACAUGAAAACAAUUCCAAACUUGUGAAAAAGCAAUCCCACAUACAUCCCACAUACUGACUGUUGGGAUAUAAAAUAUUCAGAAAACUUUCAGUAGAAAUA